rnacentral:tRNA from 1 species
GCUAUUUUGGCAGAUGAUAUGCCCUAGACUUAGGAUCUAGUUAAAUAGAUUUAUUCUAUAGGUAGUAAAAAGUUAGUGUCUUGCUAAUUGUUUU